GUGCCUUGCUGUUUCCAUUUUGUUCAAGUAGCAUAGAACCAUAAGGGUAUGAAAUCUGUGGGUUUUAGAGUCUCAUGUUUAAAAUGAACAAAGAAAUUCUCCAGGGGGCUAGAAAAAACAGUAUGGCAAACACUCAACUAGAUAUUUGAUUUAGUCUUUUAGGGUUUUCAAUACUAAUUGCAGUACUGUGAAUCUUCACAAAUGGUAAAUAGUGCCACAAAAGGAAUGGAAAGCUCAGAUCAUUAUUAAGGUAGCCCUUAGGAAGCUUUGUCAAUUUUUUUGGGUGCACGUUAUCCAUUUUCAGGCUCUUCCAAAAUGUAGUAGUCCAAAAUAGUCAUUGUGAGAAUAUAGAUAUAUACAGUGUAACCAUUUUAUGAUUUUUGGUAGGAAAAUUGAGCCAUCUUUAGUCUUCCUGAAACAUAAGAAAACAUUUCAUAUGCAUGCUGCGUGGAACUCCAUGCACAAAUUUAUAGAUUGUACCUUUUUAAAGUUGAUAUAAUUAAAUGUCUUAGUAUUUUGAAGUAUUGGUAUUUAUUUUUCAUAAACAAUGAAUGUAAUAGCAUGACUUUCAGCUGACUUUAAAGGCUUUUGUGUUUAAUUGGAUUAUUUGAAAAGUUUUGGGAAUUGAGUAACAGCAAUAGUCGGUGUUUACAGUAAGAUUUCACUGUGCUUGUUUUUCCAUUAGCUCAAAAAGGAUUCCUGUAGUGUUGAUAGUAUUAAGGGAAAUUUUACACCUGUUAUCCAGGAAAAUUGUUGGUUUAUAUGUAUUGUGUUAUCUAAUUCUUGAAUGCAUAUCAUUAGUGUGUAGUGUUUGUGUGUACAAUUAGUGAUGACUCUAAAUGCAAGAAAUCGGGAGGUACUAAUAACCCACUUGUAAGGUGUCUAAAUGUUUACAUAAAGCAAUUUCAAGGUUUAUAUUAGGACAGACAGUUACAUUGAAGUGUCUAUUUAUUGUCCCAGAAACAAAAUCGUUUGACAUGUUUUAGGUUGGUAUUUAGGAAUCAAGCAUUAACUAAGUUAAGGUGAAUUUUUAUAUUUUGGAUAAAUUAGAGCUAUAAGGUGUAAAAGUAGUAAUCGAUUUACAAUGAAAAAUAUUCAGAUUAUUGCUGGUAAUGUUUAUCCAAGAGUUUGCUAAGGUAGUCUUGACAGUUUGUCAGAUGAAAGUGUUGUGUUCAUUUGCGCUUUCUACAACAUUUAUCAUUCUUGAGUUUAACUUGAAAUUCUUCUUGCCUCCUUCUGUGCAUGUGAAUUUAGGGCAUUCAGAAGCUUCCUCUAUUUCCUACUCCCCCACAAUCAUUUACCCAUUUCACUGCUGAAAAGAUGCAAAAGCUGCCUCUUGUUUUGUGUAUAUAAAUAUUAAAUGAAAUUUGCAUAGCUAUAAAAUAUACCUUAUCCUAGCCUUCUGUACUUCUGGCUGACAGGAACUAAAUGAGUUUUUUAAAUAAAGUAAAUAAAAUAGACGAUCAUAUACUUCCGUGAAGGUUCUUGUUUAGUACCAGUAUAGGAGAAAAACAUCUUUUGCAUCCUGUAAUGUCUCAGAUAUCAGAGACAGUUAAAGAUCCCCAUGAAUUCUAAUUUCUUUUUCCGGGGUUCAGGAUGAUAAUGGCAUAAGGCGUAGCCAUUGUACAAGAAUGAGGGUAUAGAGUUUAAUAUAAAACAUGUUUUUUAACCUUAUCAGUCUUUCCAAUGAUUGAUUUAUUGAUGUAUUGUAACAGUUCCUGAAGAUCAGGGCCUCAUUUAUUCUAAGAACUGUAAAAACACAUAGUAAGAGACAGUCCUGGCCACAAAGAGAUUUUUUAAAAAAUCUAAAUUGAACAGACAAAGGGUGAGAAGGGAAAUGAAGGCACAGAGAGGUGAAAUGACUUGUCCAAUCAAGGUCACACGGUAAGUUACUGGUAGAUGGAGAACCCAGACUUCUGACUCCCAGUUCAUUGCCCUGUCUGUUAGACAAUACUGCUUCUCUUCGGCUGUAAACAUAUUUCUCAAAUGGCAGCAUAGGCAGAUAUCUUGAAAGUGCCUAUUGUUUUUGGAAUGAUUGUGUUAGGUGAUUGGGUGGCUAUUUAGAGCUAUGAAUAAUCACUAAUCUAAAAUUUCAUUGUGACUGCCAACGCUUUAUUAAAUGUAACCGAUUUCUACAAUUCUUUCGCAGCACAAGAUAAAUUUGCAGGCAUGACAGCAAUGUACUAAUUCUAACAUGCUCUCUAAUGUACAGCAAAGCAGUAACUUUAUAGACAUAUCCUUUUCAAAGACUAAGAAGGCUCCAAUCUUGCAAACACCUAUAUAUGUACUGAACUUUACUUGCAUUAGUAAGUGGGCCUACUCACAUGAUUAAAGUUAAGCACAUGCAUAAGACUGUGCUGGAUCAAGGCUCAAUUGUAUAGCUGGGUGUUUUCCUUUUAAUGUCUAGAAAUUCUUUAAUGUGCUCUUCAAAUAUUGUAUAAUCUCAUUUUUAUAUUCCUUAUAUAAAUUUUUAAAUUCCUUAUGAAAUUAGACCACCAAUUGGAAAUUUAGUUAAUUUCAGAAGUUGUUUCAGGGAACUAACUAUACCUGCCUCUGUCUACUUGUUUGGUUUUAUUUUUACUUUAGAAUCCCUUUUCUGUAUUUUAAUAUUUUUUCUCCUCUUGAUGUGAAAGACCCAAACAAAUGGGAAAUCACGUGAUUGUACAGGAAAAAACAGUGACACAGAAUUUACACAAAGUAAACAGACUGAGGAAAACUUACCCAUUUCCAUAGUUCUAGUAACUUUAGGUGUGGAAGUUGACAGUACUUUGUAUCCUUUUAGUUUUAUCCCCUUCCCAGCACCAUCACCACCCAUUUUUAUAGAGUGCAAACAAAAGUGCCUUUGUAUUUAUGAUAACAAUAAAUUAUAUGACUUGACCACUUAUGAGACUAGGAUUUAAUAUGUGCUCCUAAGGGUUGUUUCUUCUUUAGCAGUAUAUUAUAAGACUCUGAGUAAAUUAUGUCUUCAAUAUUAGUUGAUCUCUCAAAGUGUAACUUAUAAGAAACAAAAUAAGGAUCAAUAUUCUACAUCAGUUUGAAACAAUAAAGCAGGUCUAAUAAGAGGUCUAAAUUACAGGUUUAAUUACUGUUCCUUUAGACCUAAGUUAAAUGUUAACUGUUUAAAACAUGAUCACAAUUUAAAUUUUAAAAGCAAAGUUAUUCUAAUAUUCCUCUAGUUUAAAGACACUGCAAACUCCACCCUUUCCCGCUUCCCACUAGUUAAUUCAUCCAUUUUAUAGGGGGAGCAUGUUGUGGUUUGUUCAUGUUCAGUAAAUGUAACCUUUUCAUUCUUUUAAUAAUAAAAUAUUUUACAUAUGUAUCAAAGGUUGGGGGUGCUUCUUGUUACUACUAGUGAUGGUCUUGGUGAUGGUUAUUCUUGGGUCUGGAGUAGGAGGCAGUAUAUUUUAUGUAACAAUAGCCACUAGUAGUGGUUUCCUUCUGCAAGCAUCCUGGUUGAGGGCUGAAUUAAACGGGUGGAGUUAGCAACCUGGUAUCCAAGCAUUACUGGAAAAGAUGUGACAGACCUUGUUUGGGGAACUGCUGAUAUACAACCUUCUUUGCUAGCCUUGAAGGCUAUUGAACCUUACAGUGAGAUUCUACUUUGAAUAAUAUCUUUCUAUGCAACCAUUGUUUGGCUUCAUAUAUUUAUAAUUUCCAGAUAACUUUUUCUCAUGUUACCAGUAUAAAGAUACAUCUUCCAACUCCUAGUCAGGAAAACUAAACCUGGAAUCUAAAAGUCAAAUCUAUUCUUCCUCGUUUGUAUAUUGUCACCAGUAAUAAAGGUGCUGCAGACCAAACACUCUGCAUAAUUACAUCUGUGUGUAUGUCUAUACUGCAUCUAGGAGCAAGCCAUACAGCACAGGUAAACAGACUCAUGCUAGCAGAAUUGGAGUCAGAGCACUAAAAAUUGCAGUGUAGACAUUGCAGCUCUGGUGGAGACUCAGGCUCUCCACCCAAGCUCAGUCCAAGGGCAUCAGGAGGGCUUGAAAUCCUGAGGUGCCAUCCCAGCUGCAAAAUCCACAUCACUGUCUGCGCUCAGAAGCUCGCUCCCAGCAGCAGUGUAGACAUACGGGUCUUUAUAAGUGUACUAGUCACGUGGAAACCAAUGCAAAGGAAGAUGGGGUAGGGAAGUGAAGCAUGGAAAAGCUCUGCACUUCUUACUAGGAUGCCUUAAAUGUACUCUUCUGAGAGAAGGUGUGUUGCUCUUGGUUAGCUAGCACCUAAUAAAGUUGGAGCUUCCUUUACCCAAUACCAGCUAUUGGGGGAAAAAGGGGGAAUGUUUCUCUCUUACCUCUACUUUCCUGGACAUUGGAAAAAGAGGGAGGGGAAAAGAAGGAUUUUCUAUUUAUUUUUACCCCCAAAUUCUCUUACUCCAAAAAGCUGAGACCUUGUCUAUGCUACAGGUUACUUUGAUAUAACUUACAUUGCUCGGGGUGUGAGUAAAACAGCCUUGAGCGACAUAAAUUACACCAUCCUAAGUGCCAGUGUAGACAGUACUGUGUCAGGGAAGCUUCUCCCGCCAACAAGCUACUGCCUCUCAUGCAUCUCCACCACAAGUGCUGAAGUGGCUCAACGAAAUUGGUGCUGCUGUAAGUGCUGUAGUCUAGAUGUAGCCUGAGUGAAAUUCCUAAGAAAUUGGGUCAAUUUAUGUCUUCAUAAACUCUUUGAACAGCAAGCGUGAAACUGACCUGAGUGUUGUAUCUUUCCCUGUUCUGCUGCAGAACUGGUAAUAGUAAAUACAUACUCUGUUUUUUAUUGCUGGGUAAUGGGGAUGAGAUGUUUGAAAAAAGAAGUGCUUUCCUCACUUCCCUGACCCUGUUGAAGCUGCUUCUGUAGUUGCUGCCUCCACCUCCUCCUGUCCCCCAUUUCCCUUGAAAAGAAGCAUUUCUAAAAGUUUUGAAGGAAUGCUGUCUAGUCUGAAGGAAUGCUGUCUAGUCUGUUUAAUUUAUGAGAACUUGGUCAGUUUUACACUAGUAUAGCAGUCAUUCUUCUAAGUUUUACAGUGUUGAUUUAAAGGUGGCAGUAGCAGAAGUUCCAGUAUUUCCCAAAGAAAUUUUCACUUUUAUAUGGUACAUUUUUUGAAUAGCAAUUAUUAGAAGAUGCUUGUGUUGAAUUUGAAGAGAGAGCCAGCAGCUUCAUAGAGUAAAAUUGCUUGUCAUAAAUUCAUGUUCAAAACAUAUCGCAAGCUGAUAUACUGAUAUUUUUUGUUACCUGUUGAGACAAAAUAUUAAAUAAUAAAAGAUAGUGAAGAAAACCGCUAAAACAUGAGAAUGUAGUGUGUUGGAGAAUAUUAAACAAAAAAAAGUGGAAGUGAAACAUUAUAUCUGAUGUUAGUGUGAAGUGUAGGUUUUAUCAAAUGAGUGUAAUAAGUAACAUCUACAAAAUUCUAUAGAACUUCCGUCUGUUUCAGCAACAAGGGUGAG